GUGAGGCAAAGGAUCGGAGGACUGCAUAUGAACACCCGUGAUAAAAUAAAAUGGGUUGGUAACUCAAAGAAUCCCUACACUGAGAUGCUACCGAUUUCAAAUUAGAUUUUACAGCAGCCUGGGGUCAAAAUUACCUAAAGAAGUCUUUUUCCAAAAAAAUUUAAAGGUGCAAGAAAGAAACUGAAAAAAAUAACUUCCUAGUUUAAGAGAGUAACCUGGUUUGAGGAUGCUGGCAAUUGGCAAGGCCAACAAGUGAAGUUUUAAUGACACCUCUCAAAUAUCAUUUGUGUACGUCUAGCAGGAUGCGUUUUAAGGCAACAGUGUCAGCUAUGAUUUUCUGUUACGGGCCGUAUGAGCAGGCACUAAACGUGCAAAUAUUUAACGCUGUCUUAUAGAUGACUUCUGAUUAAUUAGGACUAACUCCCCCCCUUGCUGGGGAGACAGACUGAGAAAUGCAUGUGGGACUUUGAGCUCCCAUCUAAUCCUUUGGCCGUGGACAGGUCACUUUACCUUGCUCUCAUCUUUCAAAUAGGAUUAAGUCUCCAUCCCUGCUGCCUCACAGAUGGCUGAUGAGAUGGGGUAAAAAGCCAUUCCAUGAGAUUGUCAGUAUUUCAAACAGAGUUAGACUAUGUUCGUGGUGAAAAAAAUCUCCACUUUAAACAAAUGUUGUAGAGAACAGAUCUAUAGGUUGCCAAGGGAGAGGAGGUUGGGGAGGAAUAGAUUAGGAGUUUGGCAUUAGCAGAGGCAAACUCUUAUACAGAGAAUGGAUAAACAACAAGGUCUCACCGCCGUAAAGCACAGGGAACUAGAUCCAACACCUUGAGAUAAAUCACCAUGGAAAAGAAUAUGAAAAAUGUUUAUAUGUAUGUGUGUGUAUGCAUAACUGAUCACUUAGCUAUACAGCAGAAAUUGGCACAGCAUUGUAAAUCAACUUUACUUUACCAAAAUAAAUUAAAAAAAAUGUUAAUUGGAAAUAUCUCCUCUGGGAUGAGUCAAUACCAGGGCUCUGAACUGCUAGUUAGAGAAUUAGGAAUCCUUGCCAGAGUCCAUGUGGCAGGGUCGGAAGGGUGUGGGUUUUGGAGAUGA
rnacentral:lncRNA from 1 species